GCCGAGAGACCCCAACCCCACCCAUCCACCACCAUGUGGCACCGCCUCCACACCCUAGCCCCCGCCUUGCGCAGGGCUACCGCCGUCGCCGUCGGGGCCCCUACGGCGUCCGCCUCCUCUGCAGCCCGCGCCGCCCCGCUCUCCUCGGCGGCCGCCGCUUUCCGCCGCACCAGCCCGCUCCUCUCAGGGGACAAGCCGACGAGUGUGGAGGACGUCAUGCCCAUCGCCACGAGGCUCGAGCGGGAGGAGCUGGAGGCCGAGCUCAAGGUGAGAUCCUUACCUGAGAUCCAGUUGGUCCGGUCUUUGUUCGAGAGGGAGGAGCUGGAUCCCCUCCUCGAUGCUGUCAACAGUGUGACAAGGAGGACGAACCGGCGGCGGUGGCAGAAGCCAGUCUCGGGCCACGAUGGUGUCGAGCGCUGGCGACGCGUCGUCGUCACUGGUGAAGAUCGAGUCCUACAUGCGUGCUGUCAAGAUCUACCUUAA